CCUACGGGUGGCAGCAGUGGGGAAUAUUGCACAAUGGGGGAAACCCUGAUGCAGCGACGCCGCGUGAGUGAAGAAGUAUUUCGGUAUGUAAAGCUCUGUCAGCAGGGAAGAAAAUGACGGUACCUGACCAAGAAGCCCCGGCUAACUACGUGCCAGCAGCCGCGGUAAUACGUAGGGGGCAAGCGUUGUCCGGAUUUACUGGUUGUAAAGGGCGUGCAGCCGGGAAGACAAGUCAGAUGUGAAAUCCCGCGGCUCAACCGCGGGACUGCAUUUGAAACUGUUUUUCUUGAGUACCGGAGAGGUCAACGGAAUUCCUUGUGUAGCGGUGAAAUGCGUAGAUAUAAGGAAGAACACCAGUGGCGAAGGCGGAUGGCUGGACGGCAACUGACGGUGAGGCGCGAAAGCGUGGGGAGCAAACAGGAUUAGAUACCCUUGUAGUC
rnacentral:rRNA from 1 species